ACCCAGCUGACGAGUCCCAGCUGGGACGAAACGCACAUCAUGGAU
rfam:Schistosoma mattheei strain Denwood, Zambia genome assembly, scaffold: SMTD_scaffold0008432